GCCUGGGUGGCUCAGUCGGUUGAGCAUCCAACUUCGACUUGGGUUAUGAUCUCACGGUUUGUGGGUUCGAGCCCCACGUCGGGCU
rnacentral:tRNA from 1 species